rnacentral:misc_RNA from 1 species
GAAAUGCGAAAAGUAAUGUGAAUUGCAGAUUUUGUGAAUCAUCGAGUCUUCGAACGCACCUUGCGCUCUCGGGUAUUCCCGGGAGCAUGCCUCUUUGAGUGUCAUUUAACCCCUCAAUCUCUGAUUGGAAUUGGGCCGCUAGCAGCGGCCUGAAAGACAAAGUCUCUGUUGAGCGUGCUAAGCGUGAGCUUUGCAGGACUUGGCUUCGGCAACAUCACUCCUGAUCUCAAAUGAGGCAAGACUACCCGCUGAACUUAA